rnacentral:rRNA from 1 species
UGGGGAAUUUUGCACAAUGGGGGAAACCCUGAUGCAGCGACGCCGCGUGAUUUAGAAGGCCUUCGGGUUGUAAAAAUCUUUUCUAUGGGAAGAAAAUGACAGUACCAUAGGAAUAAGGACCGGCUAAUUACGUGCCAGCAGCCGCGGUAAUACGUAAGGUCCGAGCGUUGUCCGGAAUCAUUGGGCGUAAAGGGUACGUAGGCGGGUAAGCAAGUUAGAAGUGAAAUACUAUAGCUCAACUAUAGUAAGCUUCUAAAACUGCUCAUCUUGAGGUAUGGAAGGGAAAGUGGAAUUCCUAGUGUAGCGGUGAAAUGCGCAGAUAUUAGGAGGAAUACCGGUGGCGAAGGCGACUUUCUGGCCAUAACCUGACGCUGAGGUACGAAAGCGUGGGUAGCAAACAGG